UACGAAGGGGGCUAGCGUUGUUCGGAAUUACUGGGCUUAAAGGGCGCGUAGGCGGGCGGCCGCGUCCGGGGUGAAAUCCCACGGCUCAACCGUGGAACGGCCUCGGAUACGGGCGGCCUCGAGGGGGGUAGGGGCAUCUGGAACUGUGAGUGGAGCGGUGAAAUGCGUUGAUAUUCACAGGAACUCCGGUGGCGAAGGCGAGGUGCUGGACCCCAUCUGACGCUGAGGCGCGAAAGCCAGGGGAGCAAACGGG
rnacentral:rRNA from 1 species